UCUCUCUCUCUCUCUCUGUCUGUCUCUCUCUCUCUCUCUCUCUCUGUCUGGUGUGUUUUUAGGUCGGGGCGGUUCAGCGUGACAUCAGGCACCUGUCGCUCCCAUUAAAGAACUCAGGAAGCAGCUCAAUGCACAGGCUCUCGCCUGACCUCUCCUACAUUACCCAUGAUGCCAACGGCUGGCAGGUGAGCCAGAGCAUGCAGUACGCGGCGUCAUCUGACGUGCUUAGCUCCGCCUCCAGCGUGUUUGAGGACGCCAAUCGCAGGAACUCCGCCUUGGCAGGGGGCGUGGCAUGUGUGAGCCACUCCCACUCCAUGUUCCUGCCCUCACAGAGAGCUUCUGCAAACGGCAAGGUGAGAGGAACUGCAUUUUAGUGCUUUUUACACACAUGCUCAAACCUUUAUUCCCAUUCGACUCAAUAACAGCUGCUCACCUGUUGAAGUAUAAGACCUGCGUGCCAUCUUUGCUUGAGUCAGUCACCUGAGCUGUAAAAGUCAUGUGACUAAUUACUACGGAAGCUGCAAGUCCUGAUUGGCUGAAAUGGCAGCAGACAAAAAACAAAACAAAACAAAAUUAAAUUAAAUUAAAUUAAAUUAAAUUAAAUUAAAUUAAAUUAAAUUAAAUUAAAUUAAAUUAAAUUAAAUUAAAUUAAAUUAAAUUA
ensembl:lncRNA